UACGUAGGGGGCGAGCGUUGUCCGGAUUUAUUGGGCGUAAAGAGCGUGUAGGCGGUUCGGUAAGUCUGUCGUGAAAUCCUGAGGCUCAACCUCGGGCGUGCGAUGGAUACUGCCGGGCUAGAGGGUGGUAGAGGCGAGUGGAAUUCCCGGUGUAGCGGUGAAAUGCGCAGAUAUCGGGAGGAACACCUGUGGCGAAAGCGGCGCACUGGACCACAUCUGACGCUGAGGCGCGAAAGCUAGGGGAGCAAACAGG
rnacentral:rRNA from 1 species